CGUCCACUUUGUGGUUUUUCUAACAUUAAAAGGCAUACCUGUUUUAACAAUACCUCAGUUUAAAUACUAAAGGUAUUGGGUCAAUGCUAAAAACUAUACAUUGCAGCUAUAUUCCUGGGGCUCCCCCCAAAGGGAAAUAAGCCCUACAAACUGUUGGCCAGUGUUUUGAAUCAACAGCUACUCUCUAGUUUAUAUUUAAAUGGUGGUUUUAUGUUUUGCUUCCCUAUUCAUAAAUUUAGUGGAAGAGCUUCUGCAGUCCUUAGUGCAGGGGUGUGAUGAGUGGAUAUGUGGAAUAAGCUUUCUAACAGAAGAUGACCCCAAAAAGAAAACAAAAAACCAAAACACAAACUUUAAAAGCAAGGACAAAAUAAACUUGUUAUUUAUAGUCUAACGGGAUAAAGGCCGGAGAUUUCCCAGUGGGAUGUGGACAUCGUACAAUUGCCAAGGUUCCUAAACCUUUAGAAAGAAAAGAGAAUUUCUGCGAGACAUUCAGGAUGUGUAAAUCAUGCAUCGCAAACAAGGUAACAGCAUUCCCUAAUAUUGCUCACCACACGUUAAUGUGUCCUGAGCAGUGUAACCACCUUCCUGUUUACAGCAUCACUUGUAUCCAGGCUGUAGCCUGUGGUCCUGUGUUUGCUUUAUGGUUAAACUGCACAGGCUGUGAAUGUUAAUUUUAAUCUCCCAUAUAAACUGUCAGCAGAUUAUUCCAUAUCAGCUUUAAAAGCCAUUAUGUCUAAAACACAUUUAAUUGAAACAAUAUUCUUUUUAAUGUAAUGUAAUAAGUUUUCCAAGCUGCAUAUAAUGUCAGUAGAAUUAAUUGUACAAUUUCAAUAACUAAAAAUCUGCUCAGUUACUUAAAAUAAAAAGCAAAAAAAAGUCCCUUCCUCUGCCAAACUGUUGCUUUUCCUACAUUUUUUUUGUUUUAUUAUAAACUUCACAGGGUUUUGGGUUGGGGCCAAAGCCUAUGUCCAGAGCUGACUUUUUGUUCUUGUUUUACAGGUGCCAUGUUUUGACAGGCUCUCUGACAGAAUUUGAAGUACCAGCAGUGUUAUUCCUGAACACUUAGUUGGACUCAAUUUAUUUCCCACCAGGGAUUAAGUUGUCCAGCUUUCAGACAUAACAUUUGCCUCGGGUCAUGAAUUCAAGGAAGUCAAUAUCUUACAGCCUAGUACUAUCUUGUUAAUGUGGCAGUCUUUUAGCAAGAAUGAAAGUGUUCUACAAACACAGCACAUGAAUAAAAUAGUUAAAUGUGCAUUAAGUGGUUGGGGUGCCUUAAUCCCUCCCAGCCACUUUUUUUAUUGGUAAAGUUAUAUUAUCGCUGGCUUUUUGUAAUGUAGAUAACAUGCAUAGAAAAUUUGCCAGAACUUGAAGACUGGAAUAAUGCAACAUGUCAUAAUAAUGUUCUAAUAACACUAAACCAGCACUGUAUUGAAGUAGGCAGCAACUUUUUUUUUUUUGUAAUAAAUUUUUCAGUUUCCUUA